rnacentral:rRNA from 1 species
UACGGAGGAUGCAAGCGUUAUCCGGAAUGAUUGGGCGUAAAGCGUCCGCAGGUGGCGAUGUAAGUCUGCUGUUAAAGAGUGAGGCUCAACCUCAUAAGAGCAGUGGAAACUACAUAGCUAGAGUACGUUCGGGGCAGAGGGAAUUCCUGGUGUAGCGGUGAAAUGCGUAGAGAUCAGGAAGAACACCAGUGGCGAAGGCGCUCUGCUAGGCCGCAACUGACACUGAGGGACGAAAGCUAGGGGAGCGAAUGGG